rnacentral:rRNA from 5 species
GACGAACGCUGGCGGCGUGCUUAACACAUGCAAGUCGAGCGAGGAGCUUGCUCCUAGCGGCGAACGGGUGAGUAACACGUGGGCAACCUGCCCCAAGCUCUGGAAUAACUCCGGGAAACCGGGGCUAAUGCCGGAUAUGACAUCAUCGGGCAUCUGGUGAUGUGGAAAGAUUUAUCGGCUUGGGAUGGGCCCGCGGCCUAUCAGCUUGUUGGUGGGGUGAUGGCCUACCAAGGCGACGACGGGUAGCCGGCCUGAGAGGGCGAUCGGCCACACUGGGACUGAGACACGGCCCAGACUCCUACGGGAGGCAGCAGUGGGGAAUAUUGCGCAAUGGGCGAAAGCCUGACGCAGCGACGCCGCGUGAGGGAUGACGGCC